rnacentral:rRNA from 1 species
GACGAACGCUGGCGGCGUGCUUAACACAUGCAAGUCGAGCGGUAAGGCCUCUUUUGGGGUACACGCGCGGCGAACGGGUGGGUAACACGUAUGUGACCUGCCCUCCCCUCUGUGUUAAGCCUGUGCAACUGAGUCUAAUUCCGGCUAUGUCCUUUCCUCUCCUGCGUUUUGGUGGUUAGUUUUUUCGGCGGGGGAUGGGCGCACGGCCUAUUAGCUUGUUGGUGGGUUGAUUGCCUACCAAGGCGACGACGGGUAGCCGGCCUGAGAGGGCGACCGCCCACACAGGGAGUGAGGCACGGCCCAGACUCCGACGGGAGGCAGCAGUGGGGAAGAUUGAGCAAUGGGCGGAAGACUGACGCAGCGACGGUGCGUGAGGGAUGACGGCCGGCGGGUAGUAGACCUCGUUCGAGACCGACGAAGUGGGACGGUAGGGGUAGAAGAAGCACCGGCCAACUACGUG